rnacentral:rRNA from 1 species
CUACGGGCUGCUCCAGUGAGGAAUAUUGCACAAUGGGGGGAACCCUGAUGCAGCAACGCCGCGUGGAGGAUGACGCAUUUCGGUGUGUAAACUCCUUUUAUAUGUCAAGAAAAUGACGGUAGCAUACGAAUAAGCACCGGCUAACUCCGUGCCAGCAGCCGCGGUAAUACGGAGGGUGCAAGCGUUACUCGGAAUCACUGGGCGUAAAGGACGCGUAGGCGGGUUGGAAAGUCAGGUGUGAAAUCCUACAGCUUAACUGUAGAACUGCACUUGAAACUUCUGAUCUAGAGUAUGGGAGGGGGAGAUGGAAUUAGUGGUGUAGGGGUAAAAUCCGUAGAUAUCACUAGGAAUACCUAAAGCGAAGGCGAUCUCCUGGAACAUUACUGACGCUAAGGCGUGAAAGCGUGGGGAGCAAACAGGAUUAGAUACCCCCGUAGUC